ACGAAGGCUUGAAACGUCCCUCCUGGCUAUGGAGCACCCCGGUCUGGGCAGACCCACGAUGGACAGACGGACAGGGCAGAGCGAAGCCACCGAGCCCACCAAGGAGCAUCUCUUCUCCAUUGCCUGCUGCAGGGGUGGCUCCUGGGGUACCUGGAGGGGGGGCUGAGCCUUAUCUGACGGCAGCGUUUCCACGGAGGAGAUCAGAGGGCUUUGAAGGCGUCGCGGGAGCUCGGCGGAGCAGCUUGGGAUGAGGCUGGCAGUGAUUUGGCACUGCAGAUCCGUCCUUCCUCAGCUUUCCCACCAUUUCAGGUGUCGUGAUACCUCCAACUUGCGGAGAACCCAUGGAGCAGCCCCCUCAUCCCUCAGGAGACAUUCCGACCACCCAGGAAACUUUUUCAAGCCAGCCGCGAUGCAGAGGCUUUGUGCAUGGCCAGAUGCUCUUCUGCCUUCAAACUGAUGAAGAAAUCGCAAGGAGGGGCACGAGUCGGCAGGGCUGAGGGGCAAAGCUGGACCCAA